GAUGAAGAACGUAGCAAAAUGCGAUAAGUAAUGUGAAUUGCAGAAUUCAGUGAAUCAUCGAAUCUUUGAACGCACAUUGCGCCCGCCAGUAUUCUGGCGGGCAUGCCUGUUCGAGCGUCAUUUCAACCCUCAAGACCCCUUCGGGGGACUUGGUGUUGGGGACCGGCACAGGGGCCUGCCUGCUUGUCUUGCAGCGCCCUCGCCGCCCCCGAAAUGAAUUGGCGGCCUCGUCGCGGCCUCCCCUGCGUAGUAGCACAACCUCGCAACGGGAACGUGACGGCGGCCACUGCCGUAAAACAACCCCAAUUUUAUUAGAGUUGACCUCGAAUCAGGUAGGAAUACCCGCUGAACUUAAGCAUAUCAAUAAGCGGAGGA
rnacentral:misc_RNA from 1 species